GGCAUCCACGGACUUCCGAGAGGUGCUCGGUGUCUAAGACACAAAGAGCAGACAAGACCAGGACACACACCGAUGACUCCAGCUGAGGAGCGCAGCAGGGCCUCCUUACAACACAGCAGCGAAGGCAGCCAGGCUGCUUGGAGGAAAAAAGCCCAGAACGCCCACAGCCACGGCCUGGUGACCAGCAGGGCCUGAGGGGUCCCAGGCCCAUGGUUACACGGCAAGAGCACUCAGCGGAGAUUUAAGAAUCCUGGGUUCUAGACUCAGGUCAGCCACUAACUACCUAUGUGAGCUUCUCGUGCUAGGACCUGGGGUGGGGACAGGGAGGAGUCCACACCAUCCGGGCAUCACAUGAGGCUCUGAAGAGCAGUUUCCUGGCCACCCUGCCCAGGGGCAGCUGGCACUCUCGGGCAGACCAGAGCUUCUGGGACCAUCACAGGCAGGGCUGGAAGCCGCGCAGCACAAGCGAGAGGCUCCCCUCUGCCCGCGGGCUCGUGUCCUACCUGCUGAGUGCGAGCCAGCGUGAGGAGCAGGUGCAGCGAGGCCUCAGUGAAAUGCAGGUUCUGCUUCAUGCGCAGGCUCACCUCCAGAGUGGUCAAGAGGGUGGGCAGGAUGGGGAGCCUGCGGGUCACCUGGAGCCACGAGUCACCAUCCUCGUCCACCUCACACAGCUCCUUGGCCAGGUGCAGGCCCAGGACACACACCUGCCAGCGCCCAGGGGCGGAGAUGGGCAGAGAUGGGCAGGAGUGAAGAAAGCAGCGCAGGGGGCGGAGAAGCACAGGCGGCCCUCACACACGACUCCAAGUGAGCCUGACUCGAACGACCUGAGGUCUCUCCUGACCCUCUCAGGGCACACACAACGACUCCGUCCUUGCUAAUAAGCCACCUGCCAGCGACAGUUCUCGACUCUUCUCUCUCCAAUUACCAAACUUGCCGAUUCUCACCUGCUCACUGCACCCGCCUCUGCCCCUCUCACCGCACCACUGCACCCACCUCCCCGGUGGUCCUCCUCCACCCUCCCGGACCCUCCUCAGUGGAAUUUUCACACGAGUGGGUCUUUAAGCUUAUUUUUCACCAUAACGGCCCAGUAAUAAAUACUUUCUACACCU